UUGUUCUGGACGUGCUCUGCACGGCGGGUUCCCUGUGCUUCGGUGCAGCCAACCGUCGUGGGGCCGUCUUUUCACUGUUCCUCCCGACGCGCCUUUUUGGGCGGGGGAGGGUCGCUUGCUGUCGGUGGUCUGUGUGGUUUUACCCUCGUGUGGAACAAAAGUGGGUUUCAUGAUAGGCWUCUGCCUGCGUCGUCGGCACGUGCUGUCGUCGGCGUGGCUGAUUUGUUGGCAUAAUGCGUGUGCCGCUGUGGGCGCAGGAAUGGCUCCAGUACUGCACACGCGUUUUGUCGGCUCUCACGGAUGCGGUGCGCAUUGAGGAGUCCAUGCGUCUUCGGUCGCUGGACUGCUUCGGGAAGUCCGCCGCACGGAUUGUCGCUCCGUUGCUUUGCUUCGGGGCGCGGUACUGUGUCGGCGAGGUGGCUGCCCGGUUGAAAGAGCGAUUGUCCGGUCUCGUCGUGCGAAGGUGCUCCUGUCGAGGGCGCGCUGGAAGCGACUUGUCGGCUCUCGUUGAAGACGUGCUACCUGGUUGAUCCUGCCA
rnacentral:misc_RNA from 1 species